AAUAAUCGUUGUUGAAAAAUAUCGUUAAAAACAGGAAGCUUUAUCAUUAUGAUUUUCUAGCAACCUCGCCCUUUCUUGUGAACCUGACCCUGGCUAUGAAUCGUCUGCUUUGAUUCAAACACAACUAUUAUAAGACUGAAGCUCAGAACAGAGGGAAUGAGGAGACAUCUCUUGCACUGGGUGAACAGUUUCUCCAGUGGAAAGGAGAAGGAAAAUGCUGAGGACGAAUUUGCAGGAACUAUAGCAUGGGACCAAAAUAUUGUCAUUGGCUGAGCUCCAGAGGCAGAAGCCAGGGCUGCUGGAAAUAGGGUCAAGGAAGAAAUGGACUCUACAGGCUGGGACUGGGAAAACAGGGCUAACAGCUGGAACUCUUUCCCUGAAGUGCCUUCCCACCUUCUUAUUUCUGUCUGCCCUCAUUAUUUGAUUAUCACGAGAGAAAUCUAAAGAGUGUACUCAGUAAAUCCUGAAUAAAUGCUAAUAAAUGA